CUAGCGACUUCAGAGUUUGAUCCUGGCUCAGGACGAACGCUGGCGGCGUGCCUAACACAUGCAAGUCGAACGGAAGUAAGAGCUUCGGUUUUUACUUUAGUGGCGAACGGGUGAGUAACGCGUGAGAAACCUGCCUCUCAGUGGGGGACAACAGUUGGAAACGACUGCUAAUACCGCAUAACAUAUUCGAAGGGCAUCCUUUGAAUAUCAAAGCUUUAUGUGCUGAGAGAUGGUCUCGCGUCUGAUUAGCUAGAUGGCGGGGUAACGGCCCACCAUGGCGACGAUCAGUAGCCGGUCUGAGAGGAUGAACGGCCACAUUGGGACUGAGAUACGGCCCAG
rnacentral:rRNA from 1 species